rnacentral:rRNA from 1 species
GAUGAACGCUGGCGGCGUGCCUAAUACAUGCAAGUCGAACGAGGUGCUUUUUGUAGCAAUACGAGAAGUAUCCUAGUGGCGAACGGGUGAGUAACGCGUUGGUGACCUGUCCCAAAGUGUGGGAUAACUCCGCGAAAGCGGGGCUAAUACCGCAUGUGGUCAUCGGAUUUAGAAACCGAUGACUAAAGCCGCAAGGCGCUUUGGGAGGGGCCUGCGUCCCAUCAGCUAGUUGGUAGGGUAAAAGCCUACCAAGGCGACGACGGGUAGGGGACCUGAGAAGGUGGCCCCCCACAAUGGAACUGAAACACGGUCCAUACACCUACGGGUGGCAGCAGUAGGGAAUAUUGGUCAAUGGGCGAAAGCCUGAACCAGCAACGCCGCGUGCGCGAUGAAGGUCUUCGGAUCGUAAAGCGCUUUUCUGGGAGAUGAGAAAGGACAGUAUCCCAGGAAUAAGUCUCGGCUAACUACGUGCCAGCAGCCGCGGUAACACGUAGGAGGCGAGCGUUAUCCGGAUUCACUGGGCGUAAAGCGCGUGCAGGCGGUUCGGUAAGUUGGGCGUGAAAGCUCCCGGCUCAACUGGGAGAAGUCGUCCAAUACUACCGGGCUAGAGAGCAGAAGAGGAAGAUGGAAUUCCCGGUGUAGUGGUGAAAUGCGUAGAUAUC